AGUCCAUAACUAUUUUGGUAUGUACUUGACCCGAUGGUGCAUGGUCCUUUUGGGUUGCCUUCACCAAAGCAACUUGAUAGGAUGAAUUAUGGAGAGAAAGGAUUAAAUAUGAUUUAUUAAUAUAUUAUGAGAAUAAUAUAUUAAAGGAGAAAUCAUAUUGUUUAAUUAAUAUUAGUCAAGAAUUAAUAAGAAUUAAGUUUGUGGCUAAAAGAGAUUAAUUAAACUUAAGGGACUUGAACUGUCAAUUGUAUGAUAGUUGAAUAUUGAGCUAAUAGACUUUAUAUUAAAGGGGUGGACGAAUUCUAUGGGGAAACCCAUUAGAAAUCGUCCUAGGGCCUUUAAGGAAGGAGUCCAUGGGUUGCUUAGGGCUUAAGCAUCCAAAUUAGGGUUUCCUUGUUUGAUAACCCUAAUAGCUUCACUAUUUAAAGAUCCCUAGAGCACCAAAAACGUGGGCAAGUAACUCCUUAGGGUUUUGGACGGUUUUUGGGUGUCUCCUUCUCUUCUCCUCUUCAUCCUCUUGCUCUUGGUGUUUGUGAGCCAUUAGAGGAGUGACAUUUGUGACUCUAAGCUUUCUAAAGUCAAUACAAGAAGGAAUUGAGAUUGUUAUUACUAUAUAACAAUCAAGGUAUGAUCUAAAACCUUAUUCAUAUGUUAUUUUGAUUAGAUCUAGGGUUUAAAGUCUUGGAUUAAAAGCAUGUACAAUAGAGAAACCUAGAUGCAAGCUUUAGGGUUUGCAUGAGCACAUAGGAUGUCUUUUGGCUAAAACCCAUCACUUCCUUCCACAAAGCAGCACCGCCGACCGCUGAUGUGACAACCCGAAAUUUUUAUCUGGUAAAGCCAAUCAAUCCAAUCAAAUGUCAGACAUGUUUUUGCUAUCUUUUAGCAUUGUUAGGGGUUUGUUUGAGUGUUCUAAGCCUAGUACACUUAAGGAUUAUGUGUAGGAGUGUGUCAGCUUAAGUUCAGUGGGUUGCAAAAGAGCUGGAAACUCCAUCACAAGGAGUUUACAGCCGCAAACUAGAGUGUAACGACCCAAAAAUUAGGGGUAAAAAUUUUAUUUUUAAUAUAGCUAAACAUAGAUACCAUUUAUUCCAAACAUUCCAAAAAAUUGUUAAUUAUAAACAUUUAUCAGAGUUUGUCCCAAAAUCAUUCAUUGUGGAAAUCAUAGGUGUGUGCAUCACGAUCAAUCCGAGCCCUUCUUUUUCUAAAUCGACGAUACCUGAAACCAAAACUAUAAACCGUAAGCACGAAGCUUAGUGAGUCCCCCUGAGCAUACCCCACGCACAAUCCACAUAACACAUAUCGUAUUAGCUUUAAUAGUUAUCUUUACCGCAUAAUACAGAGCAAGUGGCUAUAAAAGCUACCUCUACCACAUAUCACAUAUCAUUUAGCUAGAAAGCUAUCUCUACCAUUAUCACAUAUCAAUCAGCUAUGAAAGCUAUCUCUACCAUUAUCACAUAUCGAUCAGCUAUAAAAGCUACUUCUACCACAUAUCACAUAUCAAAUAGCUAUAAAAAGCUAUCUCUACCAUUAUCAAAUAUCAAUUAGCUAUACAAGCUAUCUCUACCGUUAUCCAUAAAGGCUAUCUCUACCAUUAGCCACAAGGCUAUCUCUACCAUUAGCCAUAAGGCUAUCUCUACCAUCAGCCAUAAAGUUUGUCUCUACCACUAGCCAAAAGGCUAUCUCUACCAUUAGCCACAAAGGCUAUCUCUAGCGUAUAUCAUGCAUACAUACAUAUCACACACUUCUACAUAGCAAGUAUACCAACUAUCAUAAAAUGGGCCGACCUUGGUGCCUUAGACCCAUUGGUAUGGUGAGAAGACUCACCUAUCGAAUACUGAACUGAUAAGCUGAAGUCAGACAUAUCCCACACGGUGCUCCUUCUCAACUGCCCAUAAUCAUCAGGUGAUUAGCUUGACACAAUCCCAUAAAUACCCUCAGGUCAACCCUGGUCAAAGUCAAAGUCUAUAGUCAAGGUCAACAAUCCAUAUUAACCUUGACUCGCCGAGUACAAUCAUUCACUCAUCGGGUUCCCUGCUUAACUCGCCGACUCGUCGAGUUCCUUGGUGUUUAUGGCCGUAAACCACCAACCGUACACCUUUGACCAAAAACCCUUGGCCGUACACCCUUGGUCGCACACCCUUGGCCGUGAACCCUUUCGACUCGCCGAGUUACAAGAAUGACUCGACGAGUUCCCAAGUAUUCGGUCCUUUGUAGUGGGAUUUAAGGUCCCAAACAUCAGAUUCAUAUUCUCCUAGUGACAAUACCACGUAAAGUUGCCAACUUUAUGUUCAUACUAAGUCUCAUAAUGCCAAAACCACAUCAACAAGCUUCUUACAAGUCCCAAAUGCAUGAAUAAGAGUUAGGGUGCACCAAUGAGACAACUUUAUGACAUCUGGGACCUAAGAAGUUCCAGAUCUGGAACCAUAUCCUUGUGAUUGGUCCAGAUCCAAACUUGCUUCCAUUUCCUCAAGAAUGGCCAUAAUCUCCACAAAGAAAUCAAAGCUAAAAGUAGCAGAUUAAUACCUCAGACAGAUGCCCAAUACGAAAUAGGUGCUAGAUCUAGUGUUUUCCCCUUGAUUCUUCUUCUCCAAACUUGGAUUCCUUCCCAAAUUCCCAAAGUCAAGCUCUCAAAUGCACACACUUCACACACUAGGGAGUGUGCGGCCGUAGAUAACUUCUAGGGUGUAAAAUGGAGGCUACUAGGGUUUUUAAUGAUGUUUAUAUAGGGGCAAACCCUAAAAUUGGGGUUUUCCUUAAACAAUGCUGACUUGCCGAGUCGGCCUUCCGACUCGCCGACUCUCUUUCGACCCGUGCCCAAAAUGCCUUGAACCUACUUGACGAGUUGGACUCCCAAGUCAUCGAGUCCAUGCAUAACAUUUCCCCCAAAUGGUACUUUCUAACUGAUACUCGAAACAGGUGUUACAAGUCUCCCUCACUUGAACUAGACUUCUUCCUCGAAGUCUACUGUCCCAAGCAAAUCUGGGUAAAACUCUCGUAUCUUUCUUCUGGAUCCCAAAUCCAUUCGGAGCCCCUGCGGUGUCAUUGCACCUAUACCAAUCUUGUUUCCCUAUUUUGAAGACCUUUGGUCUUCCUAUCAAGAAUCGCAACCUGCUUCUCGAUAUAGUUCGGACUCUCAUCCAUCUAAAUGUCAUCUAAUGAAACGUCUGCGGACUCGACCAUGAACCCUUCCGAAGCUGAGACACGUGGAAGGUGUUGUGAGUCUGGCUAAGCCCCUCUGACAGGUCCAAGUGAUAUGCCACAUUGCCCACCUGGGCUGAGAUCUUGAACGACCUGAAAACUGAGGCCCCAUCCUGCCUCUCUUCCGAAACCUGAUAAUCCCUUUCCAAGGAGACACCCUUGGAAACGUGAAAUCCAAGAAUGAAUGAAUUACUUGCAACUUAAUCACAUUUGCUUCAUCUAAAAUAUGAAGUUUCGAGAUGGCUUGUCUCUGUGACAGAUUGCCCACAUCGACUCAUCAUCGAACUGGUUCCACGAGAAAACUAGUCUAAAUAGAUUACUUCCCACUCGCAAUACCUUGAGGUUCCCUAAAUAACAAAGUCACCGAUCAACCGUAGCUAACGAAUAACAAGCAAUUCACACACAUACCCCAAAUCAAUGAAAUCACUCCUACUCCUCUUGCUGCCACAUCGCUGUUUUCCAAGAAGAGCAACCGGGGACCUCCCUUGCCCCAACCUGUCUACCCACUGUCCAAAACACCGUACACUUACCCGAUUCUGAGCCAAACAACACUCAAAAGUCCCCUGCGACCUCCGAAGGAUACCUCGUAUAACCAUAACUACCCUAUCUCCUUCCAUCCGACAGAUCCAUCCACUCGUGAUAGGCUAAAAACAUGUCGCCACUGAAUCCGACGUAACAAGGUGAGUACUACCAUAAUAGUUGUAGUCUUACAUCAUACUCGAUCGCCAUCAACCUACCAUUUCCUGAUUUCACCAUGUCCUGGCUUUAUAACAACUAGAGCCACCCGAGACACCUCCCCAAUGACUUAAACCACCAUCAAACCAACCCAUUCACCAACCUGGAAUUCUUCCCUCGAGGCCCUUGACAUAUAGAUGCCCCAUAUCCCAUCUCGCUGAAACGAGAUCCUGCAUGAAUUCCCAUUUAAGUUCCUAUCUAAAUCUGAAUCGUUGCUCCUAUCUAGAGAUCCUCGAAUUGGCAUUUGUAUAAUGCACCAUGACCUACCGCCCUCCUUUCUUGUGAUGAGAAUAUUGAGCUAUUAGAUCGAUAGAUUCAAAACAGAUAAAAAGAAAUCAAGAACACAAGAAUGAGACAAAUGAUGUCGAAUGAUUAAUCUCUCACACCUCAGAAGAGCUCGAUGAAGAACUUCGACUGUAGAGGUGUGUAUACGGGUUACAAUGAAAAAGCAAUUAAUGAGAUCUCUAUCUUAACGCUAUACAUGCAUGCAUAAUAUAUAGUCUAACCCUAAUCAUAAACCACAGAUGGACAAGCCCAAUCCGGAUAAAUAAAACAAAAACAUUUAAGCCCGACGCAACUCUAAUACCCAACAAUCUCCCCCUUUGCGUCAAUUGAGGCGAGACUUCAGUUCGGUUGAGCGAGAGAAGACUUCUUGACAGUCUUGAAUACCUUCCGUAUAAUGGCCAACAUAGUUUGACGGAAAGUUAUAUACCACCGAAGCAUGUCCUUGAAGUUCUUUUUUUCUGAUUCACUAUUCUGCUUACAUCUUUGAGUGAUAUCAAGGAUAUGCUCCAAACAAGAAGUCGAGAAAAGAUGUUUGUCAACAAGAGCGAAAAGAAAUAUUUCACCUUCGCUUCUUGUAAACAUGACAGUGAGAUGAGUUGAAUCAAUCUGGCCUAACAUCAUCUUGUUAACAUCUCCAGGCUUCCCAGUAGGCUUCACUGUCAGUCUCUUCCUUAACACGUGAGCAACUUCUUGAUCCAUCUUUGCAACUUCAUGGAUAUAGGAAGUCAGCAUCCUUGUAACAUCCCAAAAGUCAAGCCCGAAAAUUUCAUUUUUGAAUUAAUAAUUUUUAAAACAUUUUACCAUAACAUUGUCAAUAAAGCAACACAUUACAAAAUCAUAAUGUUAUGUUCCAAACAAUGACAUCAAAAAUAAUGAAAAUCAGAGUACAAUCCCAGAAAGUCCGAUGCGGAAUCAUGUGUGUGUGUGAUGCGAUGCUACGCCGUUGGCUCCUUCCCCUUAGAAGAAGUACCUGAAACCAAAACAGAAACCGUAAGCACGAAGUUUAGUGAGUUCCCCCAUCAUACCACAUACCAUAUAAUAUUGUCGGUAUCUUUCAACCGGUAACUUCCAUCGGUAUCUUUCAACCGGUAAUCCUCAUCGGCAUCUUUCAACCGGUAAUCAUCGUCAGUAUCUUUCAACCGAUAAUCGUCAUUGGUAUCUUUCAACCGGUAAUCAUCGUCGAUAUCUUUCAACCGAUAACUGUCAUCAGUUUCUUUCAACCGGUAACUGGGGACUAUUCCACCCCUUACCACUAGCAUACAACAUCAAGAUAUAAACAUACAGUCAGGCAUAUCCGGGUACUGACCUACCCUUCAGUCCUAAGGACCGUUGUCAGGGACUGACCCUAGUAUACACAUAACAUAUCAUACAGAUAAAUCUCAUGACCAAAGUGUUGGAUUAGUGUCUAAGUCCAUAACUAUUUUGGUAUGUACUUAACCCGAUGGUGCAUGGUCCUUUUAGGUUGCCUUCACCAAAGCAACUUGAUAGGAUGAAUUAUGGAGAGAAAGGAUUAAAUAUGAUUUAUUAAUAUGUUAUGGGAAUAAUAUAUUAAAGGAGAAAUCAUAUUGUUUAAUUAAUAUUAGUCAAUAAUUAAUUGGUAAUUAGUUUUGUGACUAAAAGAGAUUAAUUAAACUUAAGGGACUAGAAUUGUAAUUAUAGGGUAAUUGCAAUUUGGGCCAUGGAUUGCCUUGUAUCAAGGGGUGGAUGAAUUCUAUGGGGAAACCCAUAAGGAAAUCGUCCAAGGGCUUGAUUAAAGGAGUCUAU
rnacentral:lncRNA from 1 species